CCAAUAGCGUAUAUUAAAGUUGUUGCAGUUAAAAAGCUCGUAGUUGAACUUCGGGGCUCACUCAUUGGUCAGGCUUAAUUGUCUGCACUGGUGAGAUGAGUCUCUACCUUCUGAGGAACUUUCAUGCCAUUUAUUUGGUGUUAUUGGAAAUCAGGACUGUUACUUUGAAAAAAUUAGAGUGUUUAAAGCAGGCUAACGUCUGAAUUCAUUAGCAUGGAAUAAUGAAAUAGGACGGACUGAUUCUAUUUCGUUGGUUUCUAGGAUCACCGUAAUGAUUAAUAGGGAUAGUUGGGGGCAUUAGUAUUCAAUUGUCAGAGGUGAAAUUCUUGGAUUUAUUGAAGACUAACUACUGCGAAAGCAUUUGCCAAGGAUGUUUUCAUUAAUCAAGAACGAAAGUUAGGGGAUCGAAGACGAUCAGAUACCGUCGUAGUCUUAACCAUAAACUAUGCCGACUAGGGAUCGGACGAAGUUAAUUUUAUAAUGACGCGUUCGGCACCUUACG
rnacentral:rRNA from 1 species